AGGGAAACCGAGUCUUAACUGGGCGUUAAGUUGCAGGGUAUAGACCCGAAACCCGGUGAUCUAGCCAUGGGCAGGUUGAAGGUUGGGUAACACUAACUGGAGGACCGAACCGACUAAUGUUGAAAAAUUAGCGGAUGACUUGUGGCUGGGGGUGAAAGGCCAAUCAAACCGGGAGAUAGCUGGUUCUCCCCGAAAGCUAUUUAGGUAGCGCCUCGUGAACUCAUCUUCGGGGGUAGAGCACUGUUUCGGCUAGGGGGUCAUCCCGACUUACCAACCCGAUGCAAACUGCGAAUACCGAAGAAUGUUAUCACGGGAGACACACGGCGGGUGCUAACGUCCGUCGUGAAGAGGGAAACAACCCAGACCGCCAGCUAAGGUCCCAAAGUCACAGUUAAGUGGGAAACGAUGUGGGAAGGCUCAGACAGCCAGGAUGUUGGCUUAGAAGCAGCCAUCAUUUAAAGAAAGCGUAAUAGCUCACUGGUCGAGUCGGCCUGCGCGGAAGAUGUAACGGGGCUAAACUGUGCACCGAAGCUGCGGCAGCGACGCUUAUGCGUUGUUGGGUAGGGGAGCGUUCUGUAAGCCUGCGAAGGUGUCCUGUGAGGGAUGCUGGAGGUAUCAGAAGUGCGAAUGCUGACAUAAGUAACGAUAAUGCGGGUGAAAAGCCCGCUCGCCGGAAGACCAAGGGUUCCUGUCCAACGUUAAUCGGGGCAGGGUGAGUCGACCCCUAAGGCGAGGCCGAAAGGCGUAGUCGAUGGGAAACGGGUUAAUAUUCCCGUACUUGGUGUUACUGCGAAGGGGGGACGGAGAAGGCUAUGUUGGCCGGGCGACGGUUGUCCCGGUUUAAGCGUGUAGGCUGGUUUUCCAGGCAAAUCCGGAAAAUCAAGGCUGAGGCGUGAUGACGAGGCACUACGGUGCUGAAGCAACAAAUGCCCUGCUUCCAGGAAAAGCCUCUAAGCAUCAGGUAACAUCAAAUCGUACCCCAAACCGACACAGGUGGUCAGGUAGAGAAUACCAAGGCGCUUGAGAGAACUCGGGUGAAGGAACUAGGCAAAAUGGUGCCGUAACUUCGGGAGAAGGCACGCUGACACGUAGGUGAAGUGAUUUACUCAUGGAGCUGAAGUCAGUCGAAGAUACCAGCUGGCUGCAACUGUUUAUUAAAAACACAGCACUGUGCAAACACGAAAGUGGACGUAUACGGUGUGACGCCUGCCCGGUGCCGGAAGGUUAAUUGAUGGGGUCAGCGCAAGCGAAGCUCCUGAUCGAAGCCCCGGUAAACGGCGGCCGUAACUAUAACGGUCCUAAGGUAGCGAAAUUCCUUGUCGGGUAAGUUCCGACCUGCACGAAUGGCGUAAUGAUGGCCAGGCUGUCUCCACCCGAGACUCAGUGAAAUUGAACUCGCUGUGAAGAUGCAGUGUACCCGCGGCAAGACGGAAAGACCCCGUGAACCUUUACUAUAGCUUGACACUGAACAUUGAGCCUUGAUGUGUAGGAUAGGUGGGAGGCUUUGAAGUGUGGACGCCAGUCUGCAUGGAGCCGACCUUGAAAUACCACCCUUUAAUGUUUGAUGUUCUAACGUGGACCCGUAAUCCGGGUUGCGGACAGUGUCUGGUGGGUAGUUUGACUGGGGCGGUCUCCUCCUAAAGAGUAACGGAGGAGCACGAAGGUUGGCUAAUCCUGGUCGGACAUCAGGAGGUUAGUGCAAUGGCAUAAGCCAGCUUGACUGCGAGCGUGACGGCGCGAGCAGGUGCGAAAGCAGGUCAUAGUGAUCCGGUGGUUCUGAAUGGAAGGGCCAUCGCUCAACGGAUAAAAGGUACUCCGGGGAUAACAGGCUGAUACCGCCCAAGAGUUCAUAUCGACGGCGGUGUUUGGCACCUCGAUGUCGGCUCAUCACAUCCUGGGGCUGAAGUAGGUCCCAAGGGUAUGGCUGUUCGCCAUUUAAAGUGGUACGCGAGCUGGGUUUAGAACGUCGUGAGACAGUUCGGUCCCUAUCUGCCGUGGGCGCUGGAGAACUGAGGGGGGCUGCUCCUAGUACGAGAGGACCGGAGUGGACGCAUCACUGGUGUUCGGGUUGUCAUGCCAAUGGCACUGCCCGGUAGCUAAAUGCGGAAGAGAUAAGUGCUGAAAGCAUCUAAGCACGAAACUUGCCCCGA
rnacentral:rRNA from 1 species